GAUGGGCAGGAUUCCCUGAGUGAACGAGUUGAGGCGGCCCCGACUGCCGCUCGCACUCCCGGGGGUCCCGGAGCCCAA
ensembl:miRNA